rnacentral:rRNA from 1 species
UACAGAGGGGGCAAGCGUUGUUCGGAAUUACUGGGCGUAAAGGGCGCGUAGGCGGCCUUCUAAGUCGAACGUGAAAUCCCCGGGCUCAACCCGGGAACUGCGUCCGAUACUGGGAGGCUUGAAUCCGGGAGAGGGAUGUGGAAUUCCAGGUGUAGCGGUGAAAUGCGUAGAUAUCUGGAGGAACACCGGUGGCGAAGGCGGUCAACUGGCCCUGAACUGACGCUCAGGCACGAAAGCGUGGGGAUCAAACAGG